rnacentral:rRNA from 1 species
GAUAGGCUAAUUAAGGGCGUAUGGGGGAUGCCUAGGCUCUCAGAGGCGAAGAAGGACGUGAUAAGCUGCGAAAAGCUACGGGGAGUGGCACAUACAUUGUGAUCCGUAGAUAUCCGAAUGGGGCAACCUGUUAUGUUGAAGACAUAUCACCUCGUAAGAGGAGCAAACCCGGGGAACUGAAACAUCUAAGUACCCGGAGGAGAAGAAAACAAAAGUGAUUCCGCUAGUAGCGGCGAGCGAACGCGGAACAGCCCAAACCAAAGUUGUUACGGCAAUUUUGGGGUAAUAGGACCACAAUAUUUGAUGCAUUAUGAACUAGA